rnacentral:rRNA from 1 species
AGAUUGAACGCUGGCGGCAUGCUUUACACAUGCAAGUCGAACGGUAACAGGCCGCAAGGUGCUGACGAGUGGCGAACGGGUGAGUAAUGCAUCGGAACGUGCCCAGUCGUGGGGGAGUAACGCAGCGAAAGCUGUGCUAAUACCGCAUACGAUCUAUGGAUGAAAGCGGGGACCGAAAGGCCUCGCGCGAUUGGAGCGGCCGAUGUCAGAUUAGCUAGUUAGGUGGGGUAAAGGCCCACCAAGGCGACGAUCUGUAGCUGGUACUGAGAGGAUGAUCAGUCGACACUAGGAACGUGACGACACGGUCCAGACCGUCGUACGGGAGCGAGCAGUGGGAAUUGUAGGACAAGUGGACGAAACGCCUAGACUCCGACGCCAGUCGCCGUCGUGU